rnacentral:rRNA from 1 species
GAUGAACGCUGGCGGCGUGCCUAAUACAUGCAAGUCGAGCGAACAGACGAGGAGCUUGCUCCUCUAACGUUAGCGGCGGACGGGUGAGUAACACGUGGAUAACCUACCUAUAAGACUGGGAUAACUUCGGGAAACCGGAGCUAAUACCGGAUAAUAUAUUGAACCGCAUGGUUCAAUAGUGAAAGACGGUUUUGCUGUCACUUAUAGAUGGAUCCGCGCCGCAUUAGCUAGUUGGUAAGGUAACAGCUUACCAAGGCAACGAUGCGUAGCCGACCUGAGAGGGUGAUCGGCCACACUGGAACUGAGACACGGUCCAGACUCCUACGGGAGGCAGCAGUAGGGAAUCUUCCGCAAUGGGCGAAAGCCUGACGGAGCAACGCCGCGUGAGUGAUGAAGGUCUUCGGAUCGUAAAACUCUGUUAUUAGGGAAGAACAAAUGUGUAAGUAACUAUGCACGUCUUGACGGUACCUAAUCAGAAAGCCACGGCUAACUACGUG